CCUACGGGUGGCAGCAGUGAGGAAUAUUGGUCAAUGGACGCAAGUCUGAACCAGCCAUGCCGCGUGCGGGAAGACGGCUCUAUGAGUUGUAAACUUCUUUUGUACGGGGGAAAACGCGGAUGCGCGUCUCUGUCUGAGAGUCUCCUACGAACAAGGAUCGGCUAACUCCGUGCCAACAGCCGCGGUCAUACGGAGGAUUCAAGCGUUAUCCGGAUUUAUUGGGUUUAAAGGGUGCGUAGGCGGUGGGGUAAGGUAGAGGUGAAAUCCCGAGGCUCAAAUUCGGAAUUGCCUCUGAUACUGUUAGGCUAGAGAGUAGUUGAGGUAGGCGGAAUGCAUGGUGUAGCGGUGAAAUGCUUAGAGAUCAUACAGAACACCGAUUGCGAAGGCAGCUUACCAAGCUACGUCUGACGUUGAGGCACGAAAGCGUGGGGAGCAAACAGGAUUAGAUACCCUUGUAGUC
rnacentral:rRNA from 1 species